CUACGGGAUGCACCAGUGGGGAAUAUUGCACAAUGGGGGAAACCCUGAUGCAGCAACGCCGCGUGGAGGAUGACACAUUUCGGUGCGUAAACUCCUUCUAUAGGUCAAGAUAAUGACGGUAGCCUAUGAAUAAGCGCCGGCUAACUCCGUGCCAGCAGCCGCGGUAAUACGGAGGGCGCAAGCGUGACUCGGAAUCACUGGGCGUAAAGGGCAUGUAGGCGGGUUAAUAAGUCAGAAGUGAAAUCCAAUAGCUCAACUAUUGAACUGCUUUUGAAACUGUUAACCUAGAGUGUGGGAGAGGUAGAUGGAAUUUCUGGUGUAGGGGUAACAUCCGUAGAGAUCAGAAGGAAUACCGAUUGCGAAGGCGAUCUACUGGAACAUUACUGACGCUGAGAUGCGAAAGCGUGGGGAGCAAACAGGAUUAGAUACCCUUGUAGUC
rnacentral:rRNA from 1 species